rnacentral:lncRNA from 1 species
UUCGCACAUAGAUGCUCACUGAAGAGGCAUACGCAAGGCAAUUAGAGAGACCCGCAUAUACGUGUAUUCAUAGACACAUGCAAUCACACGAGCCAUUGCGACAUAAUGUGUUCACAUUUGCGCCGCGUACUGAAUAACUCCAACUCAACAGUUGCAAGAUUUUUUUCCUUCUGUUCGUGUCGCCAAGAGUCGGAAGACAAGGAAGAAAGAAGGAGUAGAAAGGAACGGGAAACAUAGGAAAAAGAAAAUGAAAGGGAGAAAAAAGACGAAUGGCGUUAAAAACCAGCCAACAAACAAAAAAAACAAACAAACUAAAGAGCUAUUUCAGCCUGCAGGAGAAAAGUGAGCAGCUAUGAAGGAAAGAAAGAACAAAUAUGAAUAUGUAGUGUUUUAGACGAUAUAAGGAAAUUAAGCGAGGCAAAGGACAAUGCUGUGUGUAUGUAUAUAUAUAUAUAUAUAUAUAUAUAUAUAUAUAUAUAUAUAUAUAUAUAUAUAUAUAUAUAUAUUAUCUCUCACUUGUUUCAGUCAUUAGACUGCGGCCCUGCUGGGGCACCGCCUUGCAUGAAAUCGACCUCAGGACUUCUAGUAAGCCCGCUACUUAUUUCAUCGGUUUCUAUUGCAGAAAUGCUAAGUUGGGAGGUCUUGAACACAACAAUUAUCUACUAGCAGUGGUGGGGGGAACACACACACACACACACAUAUAUAUAUAUCUAUAUAUAUAUAUAUAUAUAUAUAUAUAUAUAUAUAUGUCGGGUUUCAUUCAGUUCCCGUUUAGCAAAUAUACUCACAAGGCUUUGGUCGGCGUGAGGCUAUAGUAGAAGGCGCCUGCGCAGAGGGACUGAACUCGGAACCACGUAGAUGGGAAGCAAACGUCUUUCCACACAACCAAUCCUACGCCUAUAUAUAUAUAUAUAUAUAUAUAUAUAUAUCUGCAUAUAUAUACUAAAACGCAGUCACACGAUCUACACACACACACACACACACUCCUCCCGAGGCACACAUUUUGGCAUAUUCAUAAAUGUAAGUAGUGUGUAUGUGUAUGUACAUUGGGCGAGACGGAGAGCAACUACUCUCCUUUUUUCUCUAAUUUUCGUUAUUCGAGUGCUAUUUCCUUCACCUGUUUUACUACAUAUACGCUUUUGUGCGCGCUUACACACACACACACACACGCACACACACACACACACACAUCCACACACACACACACAUAUAUACGCACGCGCACACACGCACACACAGAUAUGUAUAUGAAACCAUAGCGUGAUCUCUCACCAGCAGCAUCACUCUUUAAACCAUUCAUUCAUCAUUCACUAAACUGCAACACUACACUGCAGUCUCACUAGAACUCACUUCUCUCUGUAGUUAUCUUCUCAACACUGCAUACAUAUAUAAUAUAAUCGAUAUAAUAUAUAACAUAAUAUCGUGUAUAUAUGUUUAUAUACAUAUAUAUAAAUACAUAUAUACAUACAUACAUAUAAUAUGUAUGUGAUAUAAAAUUAUAAUAAUGAUAAUGUAAGUAGAUAUUUUCUUUCGUCCUUCUGCUUUUAACAUAUGUUACUUUUUUCACUGAUAUUUUACACGAUAUAUAUAUAUAUAUAUAUAUAUAUAUAUAUAUAUAUAUGUGUGUGUGUGUGUGUGUGUGUGUACAUAUUUGUGUGUGCGUGUAUGAUUGUGUGUAUGUAUCUAUGUAUUAUUGCCUGUUUUUAUGUUCGAUUAUAAUAAAAAAGAAUCUGACGUUAAUCUCAAGGGUUACUUCUAUGCUUUUGUAGAGAACAGAUUUAUGAUUCUUAUGCAAAAAUGUUAUCGACAGUAACUUCGAAUUUUCUGCUAGUAAAGCCAUCAUCUGAUGAUGGGUAACCUGGCUGAAACCUCGAAGUCACUGUAAAUAACACACCCACAUAUACACACACACACACACGUAUAAUGUAUAUGUAUGUAUGUAUAUAUAUAUAUAUAUAUAUAUAUAAUGUAGUAUAUAUAUAUUCUUUUCAUCUUUUAUUUUGUUUCAGUCACUUGACUGCGGCCAUAUAUAUAUAUAUAUAUAUAUAUAUAUAUAUAUAUAUAUAUAUAUAUGUAUGUAUAUAUAUAUAUAUGUGUGUGUGUGUGUGUGUGUGUGUGUGUGUGUGUGUGUAUGUGUGUGUGUGAGUGUGUGUAUAUACAGGGUGGCCCUAAGUGCCCUCUACCAUUUGAUACAUAGUAACAUUAUUAAAUUCGACAGGAUUGCAAUUUCUUGCAAUAUCAUACCCGAUUUCAUUCCAAUUUCUGCAAAUCUUUCCUUCUUAUAAUGAUUAUAUCAUUGUUUUUAUUAUUAUUAUUAUUAUUAUUAUUAUUAUUAUUAUUAUUAUUAUUAUUAUUACCGUCAUUAUUAUUAUUAUCAUUAUUAUUAUUAUUAUUAUUAUUAUUAUUAUUAUUAUUAUUAUUAUUAUUAUUAUUAUUAUUAUUAUUAUUAUUAUUUUCAUUGAAAUUUGUUUGAGAAGUUGUCGGAAAUGAUAAAACAAUGGUCUUUAUAAUCUUUCGAUCCUCAUAGUAUUGUUUUAUGAGCUGAGAUAUCGCCGGAGCUUAUCUCUGUAUUAGUUUCCUUGUUCUCUCUGGAUUUCCGCAGCUUCGAUGAAAUAAGCAUUAUCGAUGUGUGUGUAUGUGUGUGUGUGUGUGUGCGUGAGUGUGUGUGUGUGUGAGAGAGAGAGACAGAGAGACAGAGAGAGACAGGGAGAGAAAGAAAGAAGCAGAAAGAGGUGUGAGUGCGCGCAUGUGUUUGUAUGGAUAUCUAUCUAUCUAUCUAUCUAUCUAUCUAUCUAUCUAUCUAUCUAUCUAUCUAUCUAUCUAUCUGUCUGCCUGUACGUUUGUCUGUCUUUUUAUCUAUCUAUCUAUCGAUCGAUCGAUCGAUUGAUCAGUGUAUUUGUCUGUCUAUAUCAAUGGGUAUGUGUAUGCUUGUAUAUGUAUUUUUGUGAAUAUCUAUAUGUAUAUACAUAUAUCUAUAUGUAUAUUGAAGUGUAUAUAGGAAUGUAUAUAUGUGAAUGUGUGUUUAUACAUUCAUACAUACACAUACGCACACAUAUAUGUGUGUGUAUAUAUGUAUGAAUAUAUGUAUGUGCGCAUAUAUGUAAAUAUUGAACUUGAUUGAACUGGUUAUACUUCUCAUAAAAAUUCAGUGAAAUGCGGCAUACUCGUUAGAACGUCGAGCAAAAUUCCUCGCAGUAUUUUUUUUCUCGGCUCUUCAAGUUCAAAUUCCACCGAGGUCAGCAAAACCUUUCUUCCUCCCGAUGCAGAUGAAAUUAAGUACCUAUCAAGAACGAAUACCGAUAUUAUCAACUGACUCCUUCCCCUUAACUUUGCUACUCUUGUACUUAAAUUAGAAACCAUAUUACUAAUGAAUUAGCGGACCAUUUAGAACACGGUUCAAAAUACACCGUGGAAUUUAGUUAUGUACGUCAAAGAUUGAAGUUCAAAUCCCACCGUGUUUGGCUUCGCCCUUCAUUUCCGAAAAGACUAUGCUGAAAAAACUAAGAAAGGCAUGAAUGUUAUAAAAUCUCGUUUCUCAAUUCGUCGAAAUUUAAAACCUCCGCAUUUGUUCGAAUAUAUCAGAAUUCAUUUUCGAAAUAUAAUACAAAUGUACAAACCAUCUCUCUUAGAAAUAUCUUUCUUCAUAAUCGUGACUGCGAUCGGUGUACGUGAUAUACAUAUACAGACAUGUAUAUAUAUAUAUAUAUAUAUAUAUAUAUAUAUAUAUAUAUAUAUAUAUAUAUAUAUAUGUUUAUAUAUAUAUAUACAUUGAUAUAUAUAUAUGUGUGUGUGUGUGUGUCUAUAUAUAUAUAUACAUUGAUAAAUGUAUAUAUAUAUAUAUAAUAUAUAUAUAUGUUUAUAUAUAUAUAUACAUUGAUAUAUAUAUAUGUGUGUGUGUGUGUGUGUGUGUGUCUAUAUAUAUAUACAUUGAUAAAUAUAUAUAUAUAUGUAUAUAUAUAAAUAUAUGUAUUAUAUGUGUCUAUAUAUAUAUAUAUAUAUAUAUUUGUGUGUGUGCGUGUGUGUGUAAAUGUAAUGUAUAUCGCCAAAUGCUUGAUACUUGGCUUUUAAUUAACUUUUGUCUAUCCUGCCUAGGGCUAUACUGGAGUAUUGCUUCCUCUUUCGAAAGUCGUCUUAUUGUACAAACUGUACUGAAAGUAAAGAAGUUUUAUUCAAUUUACACCAAUUAACGCGUCUCCUUGUUGCACCAUUGCAAAUACGGAAAAAGAUUACUUUUUGUUUCAUUAUUUCUAUCAGCUAUUAAUGCUGCUGCUGUUGUUAUUGCUGCUGUACCUGCUUUUUCAACUGCUGCCGACGUCUCUGCUGCUUUUUCUCCCGUUAAUGUUUUUUGUAGUUGUUGUUGUUGACGUGCAAUAUUCGUCUUCUUACAAUGCUGGCCCGGCUACGAUCUAAUAUCUUGUCCAACGUUUCUAUAGCUUAUUUGUUUUAUUAAAUGGCUUCACUGUAUUAUGAUCGACUGUUAUGAAAUAUGCAAAAUAUCCAAAAGAUAAGGGACACAGUUGGCAGCGAGUCACCCCUGAAGGUAACAGAAUUAUAGAUAAAAAAAAAGAAGGUUCAGGGAAAUCAAUGGGAUAAACACCCUACUCUUUACACACUGCUAUCUAGAAUAAUGAAAUGAUGUUGUAUCAUGUGGUCCUACAUAAUACAAAAAAGAGGCGGCGAACUGGCAGAAUCGUUAGCGCGCCGGGCGAAAUGCGUAGCCGUAUUUCGUCUGUCGUUACGUUCUGAGUUCAAAUUCCGCCGAGGUCGACUUUGCCUUUCAUCCUCUCGGGGUCGAUAAAUAAAGUACCAGUUUCGCACUGGGGUCGAUAUAAUCGACUUCAUCCGUUUGUCUGUCCUUGUUUGUCCCCCUCUGCGUUUAGCCCCCUGUGAGUAGUAAAGAAAUAUACAUAAUACACAAAACUAAAAUACGUUCACAGAUGGAAUGCCUUUGAUCAUAGACCUGCUCGAUCCGGAUAGACCUGUGGUUAAACUUCUACAUCAGCUUAUUAAUAACAAUGACAACAAAGCUAAAAACAAAAUAAAUACUAUUUUACUAUUUUCCCCUUCUCCCCCCCUCUCUCUCUGUCUCUCGCUCUUUCUCUCUUUCCUUACUGGAGAUAUUGAAUGAAAUAAAUUCAGUGGUGGAAUUUCGAAGUUUUAUAAAGUAUCAAUAAUUCAGUCGUCAGUCCCGAGGCAUUUUAAUGUCCUUCCUCCGUAGUAUAAGCUAUAACGAUAGGCAGGCAGACACAUGCUUACAUAAAGACAAGCACAAACUCAUUCAUAAUUGUGUGCUCCUCUCACUCCCCAUUCUCUCUCUCUCUCUCUUUCUCUCUCUCUCACUCUCACUCUCUCUCACACACACAAUUGCACUCCCGGGUUCAUACAUGAACACAAAUAACAAUUACGCUAAAGAAUAUACAUAUACUGCCUCACUCACACUAUAUAUGGCCCAGUGGUUAGGGCAGCGGACUUGCGGUCAUAGGAUCGCAGUUUCGAUUCCCAGACCGGGCGUUCUGAGUGUUUAUUGAGCGAAAACACCUAAAAAGCUCCACGAUGCUCCGGCAGGGGAUGGUGGUGAUCCCUGCUGUACUCUUUCACCACAACUUUCUCUCACUCUUACUUCCUGUUUCUGUUGUACCUGUAUUUCAAGGGGCCGGCCUUGUCACUCUCUGUGUCACGCUGAAUAUCCCCGAGAACUACGUUAAGGGUACACGUGUCUGUGGAGUGCUCAGCCACUUACACGUUAAUUUCACGAGCAGGCUGUUCCGUUGAUCGGAUCAACCGGAACCCUCAUCGUCGUAACCGACGGAGUGCUUCCAUACUAAGUUUACUGUAUCCUUUUAUUCUGUUACUGAGUUCAGUCAUUGAGCUGGGGCCGCGCUGAGCUUCAGAUUCCGACAUAUGCUCAUUCAUAUGUGCAUACACACGUAUGAGAGUGUGUCUGUUUGUGGAAUUAUGAAUGCAUGUAUGUAUGAUUAUACAUAUGUAUAUAUUCAUAUAUGUAUGUAUGUAUGUAUGUAUGUAUGUAUGUAUGUAUAUAUAUAUAUAUAUAUAUAUAUAUAUAUAUAUAUAUAUAUAUAUAUAUAUAUACAUAUAUAUAUAUAUACUUUAUUUAAAGCAGCAGAAAAUUCAACAAAACCUGUUACUCUGAGUUUCACGUUUUGUUGAAUUUUCUGCUGCUUUAAAUAAAGCAUAUUACUCUAGCACUGGUAUUUGAGUACUCUUUUUUCCACCUUGUUUCACAUUUAUGUGUUUACUCCGGUAUAUAUAUAUAUAUAUAUAUAUAUAUAUAUAUACACGGUAACACUACUUGGUAAAAUUAUUAAUUAAUAAUUAAUUAAUUUUACCCUUUUAUUAUUGGCUAUAUAUAUAUAUAUAUAUAUAUAUAUAUAUAUAUAUAUAUAUAUAUAUAUAUAUAUAUGCACGUAUUUGUUUGUGUGCGUGUGUAUGUGUAUAUGCAUACAUAUAAAUAUAUGUGUGUGUGUGUAUGUAUCUAUGUACUUGUAUGUAUAUGACGGGCUACUUUCAGUUUUCGCUUACGAAAUUCACUCACAAGGCAUUAGUCGGUCCAAGAGUAUAAGUGGAAGACACUUGUCUAACGUGUCAUCAAGUGGGCGUGAACCCAAGACACCAUGCUUGGAAAGCAAGCUUCUUACAGCCCAGCCACGACUGCGCCUGUGUAUGCACCAUUGCAAUCACAUGAUAUUGGUGAUAGGUGUUGGUCACUUGAUUAACGUGAGUGGUCGGUAUAUAUAUAUAUAUAUCAAAGAAACUGAGAUGUUGGAGUAGCAGUGUUCAAUACAGAGUCAGGAGAACUGUGAAAGAGAGAGAGAGAGAGAGAAAGAGAGAGAAAGAGAGCAAGAGAGAGGGAGUAGAAGAGAGAAAGUAGGAGGGAAUAUAGCAAUAUAGAAAGAGAAAGAGGAGAGGUAAAAAAAAAACAAUAGAUGAAGACAGGAUUGAAUGAAACGACAGGAGAAUGAAAGCGAAGCGUGCGCGCGCGUGUAUACAUACAUACAUAUAUAUAUAUAUAUAUAUAUAUACUCUCUUUUACUCUUUUACUUGUUUCAGUCAUUUGACUGCGGCCAUGCUGGAGUACCGCCUUUAAUCGAGCAACUGGACCCCGGGACUUAUUCUUUUGUAAGCCCAGUACUUAUUCUAUCGGUCUCUUUUGCCGAACCGCUAGGUAACGGGGACAUAAACACACCAGCAUCGGUUGUCAAGCAAUGCUAGGGGGACAAACACAGACACACAAACGAACACACAUACAUAUAUAUAUAUAUAUAUAUAUAUAUAUAUACAUAUACACAACAGGCUUCUUUCAGUUUCCGUCUAUCAAAUUCACUUACAAGGCCUUGGUCGACGCCCAAGUCUAUAGCAGAAGACACUUGCCCAAGAUGCCACGGUUGGUUAGCAAGCUAACUACCACACAGCCACUCCUGCGCCUAUAUAUAUAUAUAUAUAUAUAUAUAUAUAUAUAUAUAUAUAUAUAUACUUUUAUAUACAUACGAAUGCAUUUUGAGUUGUAGGUAUGUUCUCGGAUUUUUUAAAUACAUUUUCGUUUGUUCAGUUUCACUCACAUGCUAUGCGUGGACCGGAGGCUAUAAAUAGUUGACAUUUGUCCAAUAUGCCAUGCAUAGGGAUCGAACCUAGAUUGCGAAGCAUAUUCUUAAGCCAUAUACAUGCGCUCGUAUGCAUACAUACUCUGUCUGUCCGUCUGCCUGUCUGUCUCUUUCACUCUCUCUCUUUCUCUCACUAUCUCUCACACACACCCAUAUACAAUGAAUGAGAGAUGGGUAUGUAUUGGGCAAGAUGAGAAAGAAGAGAAAAUGGAACAAAAACUAGGAAGACAUGGAGACGAUAGACAGAUAGAGAUAGAUAGAUAGAUAGAUAGAUAGAUAGAUAGAUAGAUAGAUAGAUUGAUAGAUAGAUAGAUAGAUAGAUAGAUAGAUAGAUAGAUAGAUAGAUAGAUAGAUGAGAGAGAGAGAGAGAGAGAGAGAGAGAGAGAGAGAGAGAAAUACAGAUGCAGAAAAAAAAUGCAUUAAUAUUGUAAAAAGGUUAGAGGGAUACAAAAUGGAAGAUGCAGAGGUAGAAAUCGAAGAGAGAUAGAGAAUCAGAAAUAAUGUAGAAGCGACACUAAAAGACGACAAAGGAGAGAAAAAGGAGGAGGCGGAGGAGGAGUGGAGGAGGAGGAGAAAGAGAGAGAGAGAGAGAGAGUGAGAGAGAGAGGUCUGCCUCCUUGAUAGGUUGUUUGGUUCACCAGCAAAACACUUUAUCCUCAUCUUGCUUUUGUUGUUUAAUUCUACCUUGAUUGAGAAGACUAAUGGUCACAACCAUCCAACCGUGACUAUCCUACCUUACUUUUAAACAAGGAGGGGAAAGAUAAGAGCAUUAUUUCUAGCAAGUGAACGAUUUGACUAUUUUGGCUCACUGGUUGGGCUUCUCUAUCUCCAAACAGUGAGACACCUUUCACACCAGCAUCACAUCUGGAUGAUUUCACUGGAUAUCUGCCUUCUGUAUCGCAGACUCGGCACUUACUGGGAACUUACUACCCAUCCGUAGCUCUUACUACAAAACAUCUGCUCUUAUAAUUAACGUUAUGUAAUCGACAGUUUAAUGUGAUUUCUACAGGCGCAGGAGUGGCUGUGUGGUAAGUAGCUUGCUAACCAACCACAUGGUUCCGGGUCCAGUCCCACUGCGUGGCAUCUUGGGCAAGUGUCUUCUGCUAUAGCCCCGGGCCGACCAAUGCCUUGUGAGUGGAUUUGGUAGACGGAAACUGAAAGAAGCCUGUCGUAUAUAUGUAUAUAUAUAUAUAUAUAUGUGUGUGUAUGUGUUUGUGUCUGUGUUUGUCCCCCCUAGCAUUGCUUGACAACCGAUGCUGGUGUGUUUACGUCCCCGUCACUUAGCGGUUCGGCAAAAGAGACCGAUAGAAUAAGUACUGGGCUUACAAAGAAUAAGUCCCGGGGUCGAUUUGCUCGACUAAAAGGCGGUGCUUCAGCAUGGCCGCAGUCAAAUGACUGAAACAAGUAAAAAAAAGAAAAAAACAGAAAAAGAGUAUUACCACCGGCAGUCCUUUUUUUCCCUCUCUGCAUGUAAAAUUGUUUUGGGUAUGGGGAAUACGCAAGAUACCUUGGCUCUGGUGAACCUUAAUCAUUCAGGAGGGUUGCAAUGCAGACUAUAACACACGAUACAGCAGAGGGGUAUCCAGGUGUCCUGACUUGGGUGUGGUCUAAGCCCUUACAGUCUAAGAAGUUAAGAGCCGAAACUCUUUUAUGAUGGGAAUGGCUUCUCUGAAGACCUUCCGCUGUUUAGCUCCCCUUGAGGUCUCUUACUACCUGGGUAGUUAUCAAUCGUGGAGUGUAUUUGUUGUCUAGAGGGAGUUUAUUAUUUGUGUGAUCACAUUGAAAGUGCAUUGCAUAAGAUGUGAGCAGUGUAUAACGGGGUUAUCUUUUGGAUUGUAGGUAACAUUGUUAAUACUACUAUUGUUCGUAUGGUCUUGUUCGUAUUAGUUUUUCAUAUACAGAGUUCCAGUUAUUUUUGGUACUGUUUUUCUUUGAUGUCUCAUAUUCUGCUCAUUCUGCUGGUUCCGGGCAGUGCUAGAGAGGGAAAAAAAUGCUGAGAUGGUGUUGACAUUUUUUUCGUUCCAGGCCUUAAUAAUUAUACCUGGAAAGUUUGCCUUCACCGGUUUGUCAGUCUAAACAAAACUGUCUCACAUGAUAAUAGUAAGUCGUUGCCAUUAAUGGUAACUGGUACAUUAUUUUUUUCUUUAUUUGUUUUUUUUUUCUUUAUGUCGGUAUUUUUCCCAGUGUAUUAUCAUUGAAGUUGUUUUUUUUUCUGUCUAGUGGUUAUAGCGAAAGAGGUUGUGUGGUGAACAAGGUUGAAAGGACUGAAGGAAAGCUUCUUCCUUUUCGGUUAAGCCCUCAUCAGCUCUUUUGAGUUCUACUUGGAAAGCAAAGUGGAGAGGGAAGGGAAUUUGCUAAAAGGUGGGAGACUAUGACAAAAAUGGUUAAGUUGAAUGGACGUACUCUAAUCAUGCGCCUCUAGAGUGAAGUACAACAUUUGGGUGAGGGCUUGUGCCCUUGGUUGGUCAGAGUGAUCCUGGAUCUGAGGAGUUCGUUAAAGGGCUCUAGUUGGAGGUUCUUUUGUAUCAGGAGGACUGCCUUACAUAUUUUCUAUACUAUGUAUACUUUGAAUCUCAUUUCACCAUUCUCUCCUUUCUUUAUGUAACAUCCGACCCUCAGAUUGUGAACUGUCCUUGUAAUGUCCCCUUCACAUAAUCCCCCGGUGGAAAUCAUCAUCAUCCUCAUCAUCAUUAUCAUUAUUAUUAUUAUUAUUAUUAUUAUUAUUAUUAUUAUUAUUAUUAUUAUUAUUAUUAAGGUGAUGAACUGGCAGAAUCGUUAGCUCGCCAGACGAAAUGAUUAGCGGUAUUUCGUCUGUCGCUACGUUCUGAGUUCAAGUUCUGCCGAAGUCGACUUUGCCUUUCAUCCUUUCGGGGUCGAUAGAUUAAGUACCAGUGAAACACUGAGGUCGAUGUAAUCGACUAGUCCCCGCCUUCAAAAUUUCAGGAUUAUUAUUAUUAUUAUUAUUAUUAUUAUUAUUAUUAUUAUUAUUAUUAUUAAUGAGUGAGAGAGCAGUUCAUGCCAUCAAAGUGGCACUGGGGUAAAAUAUACGAAGCCCAAUAUACCCAUCAUGACUACCCGUCUGAUAAGGGUACACCAGGCACAUGCAUCAUAACCAUAUGUGCGCGACAUGGUGAUCUCAUAUCAAGAUAAACAGCACAUGACCUUGCAGUUGGGGCCCAGUUAGAAUUUUCUUCAGGUUGAGUAGCCCAUCCCGCUCAAAAGGUCCCUGGAUAAGAGUUGUUUAAGGAUGUUGAAUGAAACACCCAUGUUUCCAGAGGUGAAUUAUUCAAACCCCAAAGAAUCCCUCUCAACACAUGGCUAUGAUGCUCCCCUCCACUACUUCUGCUCGUGAUCAGAGAUGCACAUAUCGUCAGCCACUAAGGGACAUGUUCAACUGGUUAAGGUCAAACAACUGACAAGCAAAUCUGUGGUAUUGAGCAGAAUAUUUGCUGUAGCCCAUCUUUUAUACCAAGACAAAACAAUGUACAUGAUAACACUUCCAAUCAGUUAAGAUCAGAAGCAAUGAGAGCCACUGCCUGGUACUGGAUCUAUUAUUAUUAUUAUUAUUAUUUUUAUUAUUAUUAUUAUUAUUAUUAUUAUUAUUAUUAUUAUCAUAAUUAUUAUUAUUAUUAUUAUUAUUAUUAUUGUUGUUGUUGUUGUUGUUGUUGUUGUUGUUGUUGUUGUUGUUGUUGUUGUUGUUGUUGUUGUUGUUAUUAUUAAAAUGUUGGGCUUACAGAAUCAUUAGCGCAUCGGAUAAAAUUCGUUGCAGCAUUUUUGUGGUUCUUUACGUUGAGCUCAAAUUCUGUCGAGAUCGAUAUAAAUAUCAAUUAAAUAAAAUUGACGAUAGGAUCGACUAUCCCCCAGAUCUAAGACUUUGCGCCUGCAUUAGAAAGUUCAGUAUUUGCCGAAAGUUUGUGGAGUUGUCGGUAAGAUGGAGUUUAAUUACCAUUAAGAGUGUAAAUCCUCAUCGAUGUUCUUAUUGAAAGGUGAGAGGCUAAAGUGUUUGAUUUCUUCACUCCUGACAGCAAUUCAACUUUAACUCAUCGAUAUUUCCAGAAACUCUUUUUGAUUAUCCUCUCAUACACGCCAUGCAGCGAGCUGACUGAAUGGUUAACUUGUGGGAUAAAAUGUUUCAUUCGUCUUAACGUUCAGAGUUCAAAUUCGGCUGUGGUUUAGUUUUCCUUUCAUCCUUUCGAGAUCGAUAAAUUAAGUACCUGUUGAGUACCGGGGUGGACAUAGUUGAUUAAACCCUCCUUCCCAAAUCUCAAGCCUUGUGUCUAGAAUAGAUCGGGUUAUCUCAUACACGCAUGCGCGUAUACAAACACAUUCUCUCUCACGUACAUGUAUAUCAAUAUAUUUUCUUCUCCGGAUUUCACCAAAUAUCAGAAUUACAUUAUUAUAUAUAUGACAGAGUAUAUACUUGACAGAGUUAAAGUACUAAAUCUACGAGAAAUGGUACAACUAUAAUGAAUAUUUGAUAAAGAUAAAAGCAACAUCGUAAAACUAUAUGGUUACGUAAAAUGUUAAACUCGGGGUCCUUCGAAGCUCUGUUAGGAGGAUAUAAUACCAGGUAGGAGGAACCAAGAACGUCCCAAACGCAGAAGGGGAGACUGGAUCAUAAAACUGUGACAAUGGUAACCAUAAGAACAGUUCAAAGCAAUGAAGUCGAGCAGAGUAGGAUAGACGUGCUAGAAAUCCUCAUGGCUAAAUCUCCCUCAAAUUGCACCCUAAUCUCUAUUUCUCUUUCGUGCUGUACUUCAUAUCCGUCACCCUUGAUCCGUUUACUAAAAUAAUUCUUUCAAUUAGAAAUGGUAUUUCUUUUAUUUAUUUAUUUAUUUAUUUAUUUAUUUAUUUAUUUAUUCAUUUUUCACUUUGUAUUCAGUGAAUGGAAGAAAGCGUCUAUAGCUAUUUAUGUUUUCUGGAAUAGACAAGAAGAGCGAUUAAAAUGUUAUUCCCGAUUAGGAGCCUUGGCCCGAAUGCUUACAAACGAAUAUCCAUUUCUUUACUACCCACAAGGGGCUAAACACAGAGGGGAUAAACAAGGACAGACAAACGGAUUAAGUCGAUUAUAUCGACCCCAGUGCGUAACUGGUACUUAAUUUAUCGACCCCGAAAGGAUGAAAGGCAAAGUCGACCUCGGCGGAAUUUGAACUCAGAACGUAACGGCAGACGAAAUACGGCUACGCAUUUCGCCCGGCGUGCUAACGUUUCUGCCAGCUCGCCACCUUACAAACGAAUAUCAUUUCGCUAAAUGCACCAAAGUGCCUGAUGGUAGCGUCAGACAGGGUGACAGAUUAAGUCUGUUACCCAAAGAAGACGUUGCUCAUCCCUCGCUUGACUCUUUUUAAUUUCUUAAGAAAAGAACCCUGUGAACGGUCCCAUGCAUAACCAUUCAUAUGGCGGGACGUAGCUGAUUCAAAACGGGAGAAAGAGAGAGAAAGGCACAGAGCACGACUGGCGUUUGAUCUCUCUCGGAAUGAUUCAAGCAGGGUUUGAAGUCCGAUUACAGAGUGGCGGAACAAAUACCACAAGGCAUCUUAACGGCUCAGUUCAAUUCACCGCUUGCAAAUCACUGUUGAUGAAUGGGUAUAAUAAAAGACGGAAUGGUCACGGAUGGAAAGUCGUUGGUCAUAGUAAAGCUUGAUCAAGGAUGACCUGGGAUUAAAGAACAUCGACAAUAACAACAACAGACACAAUAAAUACACGAGAAUGUAAAAACAAAGCAAAAAAUUAUGAAAAGGGAAACAGGAGAGAAGCAGAUAAAAGAAGGAGAAAUGAAAGUAACCGAAUGGGAAAAAGAGGGAGUAAGGAGUAGAGAGGCAAUCGAUUAUAGAGGGAGAGGGAGAGAGAGAGGGGGAGAGAGAGACAGAGAGAGAGAGAGAAAGGGAGAGGUUAGUGAGAGUGGCUGAAGAGGUAGGAAGAGUGAGUAAAAGAGUUAACAGCUGCAAUGGCAAAUUGCUGAGACGUACGCUGAGGAUGAGGAAGAAUGAGUUUGAGGUGGGGCAGAGAGAAGAUUGAUGUGAAUGGAUGGAUGUAAGGGAGUAGAAGGAGAAGAGGAACAAAGGGACAGAGGAGCUGGUAGUGGAGUUGUUGUUGUGGUGGUGGUGGUGGUGGACGGUAGUGGUGGUGGUGGUGGUGGUGGUGGUGGACGGUAGUAGUGGUGGUGGUGGUGGUGGUGGUGGUGGUGGUGGUGGUGGACGGUAGUGGUGGUGGUGGUGGAUGUGGUGGUUAUGCGUAAAAACAGAAACAGGAGGUUACUGUUUAGGAAACCCUUUUCUUGCCGGCGAUAACUUUUCAGUGGCAACGGUAGCAGCAGCAGCAGCAGCAGUAGCAGUAGUAGCAGUGCUGGUGGUAGUGGUAGUGGUAGUGGUAGUGGUAGUGGUAGUGGUGACUGCACCGGGAUGAAACAACUUGCAAAAUGUCCCGUAAGGAUAACGCUAAAGGACCAGGAAUAUGAUUCAUGAGUAGAUAGAGAGAUAGGGUGAGAAUGAAAGAAGCAGAGAGAGAGAGAGAGAGAGAGAGAGAGAGAGCUGGAAGGACAGAAAAUGUGAAUGUGGGGGUGGGGGAUGGGGUGGCAGGGACAGCAGCAAGCAGCAAGAGGAAUGUGAAGGUGGUGAGGUGAGAAGAGGUGAGGUUGGCUGGCGGAAAAAUAUAACAUUUCUCUGUAGACUGAUAGAAUCCCAACAAUCACAGAUACAUAUCUUAGCCAACUACUUCAUAUAUUUAAUGCACAUGCACAGGCUCUCCUUCUCUGUCUGUCUGUCUGUCUGUCUGUCGCUCUCCCUUCUCUUCCUUCUCCUUCCUCUCUUCAUCCCCCCUCUCUCUCUCUCUCACCCCCCCCCACACACAUACACGAACACUCAGGCUAAUGUGCAAUCGACAAAAACAUGUGUAGUGCACGGCAACACACACUGGCCAUGCAACCAGCUUUCGUUUUCAACUAAAAAGUUGUCCAACCUGCUUGAAUUAGCCAGAUAUCCCUCAUAUCAUAAGAACAAAAAAAAUGAGUGUGCAAGUAUUUACACACACACACACACACACAUACGCACACACACACACACACAUACGCACACAUAUCAUUUUUUAAAAAAUCUUUUUACUUGUUUCAGUCAAAACUUGUUUCAGUCAUUUAAGCUGGGCACUACGUUGAAGAAUUUUUACUCGAACGAAUCAAUCGCUAGUACUUAUUCUAUCGAUCAUUUUUGCCGACCCGAUAUGUUACGGUGACAUAAACACACCAACACCGGUUGUCAAGCGGUGGUGGGGGGGACAAACACAAAGAUACACACACAUACACACACAUACAUACACACAUAAAUACAUACAUACUCGCGCAUAAGUAUAUAUAUAUAUAAGUAGGUGAAUGAAUUAUCCUAUGUUA